rnacentral:rRNA from 1 species
CAGUCGUACCUUCGGGUAAUCAGCCUUUCGAGUGCGAUUCUGUGGAGUGUGAGGAGCUAAACACCUUCAUGCCUGCAUAUUCGUGCUCUUGGGUGUACUUGCUCGUGUGGUUGGUUAACAUCAAUUUUGGUGGUCAUAAAAUGGCUGGAGGAAUGUAGCUUCGAUCUUGUAUUGAAGUGUUAUAGCCCUUCAGUAGAUGUGAUGAUCGGGAUUGGAGGAUUGCAACGGAUACCCCUUCGGGGGCUACCCGUCUGAUCUCU